rnacentral:antisense_RNA from 1 species
UCAGCUAAGCAAGAGCAGGGGCCGCGUGGACCUGGGGAAGGCCAGCCGGCGAGCGUGCACCAGCCCCAGGGCUCUGUCCCAGCCCCUUCUGGAAAGUUCCAGGCCUGUUUUGCUCCAGAGCUGGAUGGCGUCAGGCAGUGAGCAGCCACAUGAGGGCAGGAGGCAUCGUUAGUGCUGCCCCUUCACGUCACCCCGGAGCCCAGGCCCUGCAGCAGGGGACCCCAAGGCCCACUCGGGCACAUGACAGCCACCCCGGCCAUGUCAGAGCCCUCCUGAGCUCGUCACGGACACCGGUACCUGCACCAGCAGGUAGCACAAGGGCCCGAGAUGGGGACUCCCUUCCCUCCUGGGAAGAUGCCACCAAAACAGCUGGACAGACACGAGAGGCGGGGUCUGGCAAUGCGCACGGUGGGGACAGAGCCGGGCCGGGGCUAACAGAUGGCCCCGUGGACGCGUCCUCACAAGCCAGCGAACUCCUCGAUGGUCAUGAGCGGGAAGCGAAUGAGGCCCAGGGCCUUGCCCAGAACCUUCCGCCUGUUCUCCGGCGUCACCUGCAGCUGCUGCCGCUGACACUCGGCCUCGGACCAGCGGACAACGGCGUUGAACAGCCGCACCUCACGGAUGCCCAGUGUGUCACGCUCCAGGACAGCCACCAGCGUGUCU